UCCCAUAACCUAAGAACUCCAUUACGACCACCGCUGCAUAUCCUCUUCCUUUCAAGAUCAGAGGCCACACAUCUCACCAUAGCAACUGUUUUUUGUGGGGUUCUGUAAAGCUGCCACCCAGACAUUUUUGAGCCAGUGCUGGAGAGGCCAAGUCGUUCUUGAGGUCGUUGGAAUAGAGACAUGGAAUUGUCAGCUGCUCCAAUUCCUAACCAGUGCUCCCCAGCAUUGAUAGAUAAAAUAGCAGCAUUAUGAAUGGUUACAUUCUUCACACAUCUUAUACCUUCUUCCUCAUUUUCCCAAAAUCGGAGUAGCCCAUCAGUUGAACCUGUUAUUAUUCCUCUGUCUAGCAUGGAACACUCAACGCAUAAAAUAGGACCAGCAUGGCAUGCUAGAACGGCAUCACAUGUUCCUCUUGNNNNNNNNNUCUUGCCGUCCAAUCAUCACUACCAGUAACCAGUGUGUCUCCAACCAUUCUAAUUGACCGAAUCCAUUUUAAAUGUCCUAACAGCUUGUGCAUUUGCCUACCAGCACGGAUGUCCCAGAUGUUUGCAACCGCAUCUCUACCAGCGGCAGCCAGGAUGCCAGUGGAAUCAUCAUACUCCAUGCAUAGGACUGCACUAGAGCAACGACCAACUGUUGCUACACAGGUAUCAGUUCGAACAUCCCACAUCUUCAC
rnacentral:misc_RNA from 1 species